UACGGAGGGGGCUAGCGUUGUUCGGAUUCAUUGGGCGUAAAGGGUGCGUAGGUGGUGCCGUAAGUUGGAUGUGAAAUCUCAGGGCUUAACCCUGAAACUGCAUUCAAUACUGCGGUGCUGGAGUACUGGAGAGGAGAUUGGAAUUCACGGUGUAGCAGUGAAAUGCGUAGAUAUCGUGAGGAAGACCAGUGGCGAAGGCGGAUCUCUGGACAGUUACUGACACUGAGGCACGAAGGCCAGGGGAGCAAACGGG
rnacentral:rRNA from 1 species